rnacentral:rRNA from 1 species
CGAGCGGAGCGGUCUUGAUGAAGUUUUCGGAUGGAAUCAGGAUUGUCUUAGCGGCGGACGGGUGAGUAACACGUGGAUAACCUGCCUUAUACUGGGGGAUAACAGCCAGAAAUGGCUGCUAAUACCGCAUAAGCGCACGGCGCCGCAUGGCGCAGUGUGAAAAACUCCGGUGGUAUAAGAUGGAUCCGCGCCUGAUUAGCUAGUUGGCGGGGCAGCGGCCCACCAAGGCGACGAUCAGUAGCCGGCCUGAGAGGGCGACCGGCCACAUUGGGACUGAGACACGGCCCAAACUCCUACGGGAGGCAGCAGUGGGGAAUAUUGCACAAUGGGGGGAACCCUGAUGCAGCGACGCCGCGUGAGUGAAGAAGUAUUUCGGUAUGUAAAGCUCUAUCAGCAGGGAAGAAGAUGACGGUACCUGACUAAGAAGCCCCGGCUAACUACGUGCCAGCAGCCGCGGUAAUACGUAGGGGGCAAGCGUUAUCCGGAUUUACUGGGUGUAAAGGGAGCGUAGACGGCAGGGCAAGUCUGGAGUGAAAGCCCGGGGCCCAACCCCGGGACUGCUUUGGAAACUGCCAUGCUGGAGUGCUGGAGAGGUAAGCGGAAUUCCUAGUGUAGCGGUGAAAUGCGUAGA